rnacentral:rRNA from 1 species
UACGCACGCUGGCGGCGUGCCUAAUACAUGCAAGUAGAACGCUGAAGGAGGAGCUUGCUUCUCUGGAUGAGUUGCGAACGGGUGAGUAACGCGUAGGUAACCUGCCUGGUAGCGGGGGAUAACUAUUGGAAACGAUAGCUAAUACCGCAUAAUAUUGACUAUUGCAUGAUAGUCAGUUGAAAGGUGCAACUGCACCACUACCAGAUGGACCUGCGUUGUAUUAGCUAGUUGGUGGGGUAACGGCUCACCAAGGCGACGAUACAUAGCCGACCUGAGAGGGUGAUCGGCCACACUGGGACUGAGACACGGCCCAGACUCCUACGGGAGGCAGCAGUAGGGAAUCUUCGGCAAUGGACGGAAGUCUGACCGAGCAACGCCGCGUGAGUGAAGAAGGUUGUCGGAUCGUAAAGCUCUGUUGUAAGAGAAGAACGAGUGUGAGAGUGGAAAGCUCACACUGUGACGGUAUCUUACCAGAAAGGGACGGCUAACUACGUG